rnacentral:rRNA from 1 species
UACGUAGGACCCGAGCGUUGUCCGGAUUUACUGGGUAUAAAGGGUGCGUAGGCGGCCUUGUGCGUCAGAGGUGAAAUAUCCGGGCUUAACCCGGAGGGUGCCUUUGAUACGGCAGGGCUUGAGUGCGAGAGAGGAUGAUGGAAUUCCUGGUGUAGCGGUGAAAUGCGUAGAUAUCAGGAGGAACACCGGUGGCGAAGGCG